GACGAACGCUGGCGGCGUGCCUAAUACGUGCAAGUAGAACGCUGAAGGAGGAGCUUGCUCUUCUGGAUGAGUUGCGAACGGGUGAGUAACGCAUAGGUAACCUGCCUGGUAGCGGGGGAUAACUAUUGGAAACGAUAGCUAAUACCGCAUAAGAGUAGAUGUUGCAUGACAUUUGCUUAAAAGUUGCAAUUGCAUCACUACCAGCUGGACCUGCGUUGUAUUAACUAGUUGGUGGGGUAACGGCCCACCAAGGCGGAGAUACAUAGCCGACCUGAGAGGGUGAUCGGCCAAACUGGGAAUGAGACACGGCACAGACUCCUACGGGAGGCAGCAGGAGGGGAUCUUCGGCAAUGGACGGAAGGCUGACCGAGCAAAGCCGCGUGAGUGAAGAAGGUUUUCGGAUCGUAAAGCUCUGUUGUAAGAGAAGAAAGAGUGUGAGAGUGGAAAGUUCACACUGUGACGGUACCUUAACAGAAAGGGACGGCUAACUACGUG
rnacentral:rRNA from 1 species